rnacentral:lncRNA from 1 species
AUGACUUCCUUUGGUUUUGCAGUGGAUCAGUGGACAGCGUGCAAAAGGAAGUUAGAAAAUACUCUUUACUUCUUAGCUGUUUCAAAUAAGGCAUUUGUUCAAAAUAACAGAGGGUGGAUGGACAAGUUCUGCAAAGUUCAGUCAUCCUCUGCCGUCACGGAGUGCCGCUGUCCUGGAAGUACACUGUCAAUGAGUGAGAUUUCUAGGAAAGUGACUGCUGGUCAUUCCCAAGUUGUUACUGCUGUCUGCGCAAGUCAAUACUGCUUUACUGAGUCAGAAGGGAGCACCAUUAGUAUGAAGAUAUUCCUGGAAACUGGCAGCGAGACCAAGGAACCUCUGAGCUUACUACUCAGUGGGGUGGUACACAUACUGACAACACUGAAAAGGCUGAGGUGCUUGAUGAUACUGCCAUGGAUUCUUCCAGGAACGUAA